UGAAGUCAACACAAAGGCGCAGAGUGGCCGAUAAGGAUCUGAAUGUCCCUUUAUCUGAGUACAUAUGCGGUAUUUGGCUUUCUCACACAGUUAGGGAAAAUCAUCCUGGGGAAAUCCCUGAGAUCGCCAGUCUGUGCCUGAGAAGAAAACCACUUGUAUUUUCAUCAGUGGCACUGCGCUGUCGGCGGGGAAGGUGCUGUUGCGCGCCCGGCAAAAAGUUGCUGACGCCCAUGUCCUCCAUUUCCACGGGCGGGAACCUCUUGUCCU